rnacentral:rRNA from 1 species
UACCAGCACCCCGAGUGGUCGGGACGUUUUAUUGGGCCUAAAGCAUCCGUAGCCGGUUCUACAAGUCUUCCGUUAAAUCCACCUGCUUAACAGAUGGGCUGCGGAAGAUACUAUAGAGCUAGGAGGCGGGAGAGGCAAGCGGUACUCGAUGGGUAGGGGUAAAAUCCGUUGAUCCAUUGAAGACCACCAGUGGCGAAGGCGGCUUGCCAAUACGCGCUCGACGGUGAGGGAUGAAAGCUGGGGGAGCAAACCGG